rnacentral:rRNA from 1 species
UAGUCCGAUUAGCUUGUUGGUGGGGUAAAGGCCUACCAAGGCGACGAUCGGUAGCUGGUCUGAGAGGACGAUCAGCCACACUGGGACUGAGACACGGCCCAG